UUCUUUUUUAAUAAAAACAUAAAUUUGUGUAGUAUGGCAUACAUACAGAAGUAUAUGAAAACAUGUAGUAUUUAAAGAAGCACAGCUCGAACACAUGUGCACACUCCACUCAGGACAAGAAAUGGCAUGCUUCACGGUCCCGGACGCCCCUUCCUCCCCGCCUGCCCCUGCUGAGACCUGACCACAGGCCUUCCCUCCCUCCUUCCCCCUCCACCCACGACCCUUGCCAGAGGCAACAACUAUUCUCAUUUUUUUUUUUUUUGGAAGAUUUUUUUAUCUAACGUCACAAGUAGGCAGGGGUCGGGGGCUGGGAAGCAGGCUCCCUGCCGGAGCAGAGAGCCCAAUGCAGGACUCGAUCCCCGGACCCCAGGAUCACGACCCGAGCCAAAGGCAGAGGCCUAACCCACUGAGCCACCCAGGCGCCCCCUCAAUUUUGUUUUUACACUUCCUUUAUUUUCUGACCCUGGAAGGUCGUGUGAACCUUGGGCAAGUGGUGAGCUAAUCUUUCUCACCUGUGCAAUAAGACCGUUACUCAGUUGUAGUUUUACCAUAUCCUAAACAACACAUUUAUUUGAGUUUUACCGUAUCUUAUCCUAAACAACACAUUUAUUUGCUUGUUCCUGAACUUAAUGUAAGUGGAGUCAGGUCUGUUUUUCCAUGGUAUCUUUUGCUUAAUGUUAUUUUUUCAAUUGAUCCAUGUUAAUGCUGUAACUCAUUCAUGUUUUAAUUAAUAGACAUUUUUCAGAUUUUAUUUAUUUGAGAGAGAGUACGAGUGGGAGUGGGGGCGUAGAGGGAGUGGGAAGGAGAGGACCCCAAGCGGACUCCUUGCCGACUAUAGAGCCCCACACGGGGCUUAACCUCACAACCCCGAGAUCAUGACCUGAUCCAAAACCAGGAGUUGGAUGCUUAACUGACUGAGCCACCCAAGCCCCUUUCCCAUCCCCCAAUGCAUUAUGGACUUAAUAACAUCCAUAGUUUACUUACAUGUUCUUAGUUUUUACCUGGUGCCCUUUUUCUGUUUCAGGAUCCCAUCCGGGAUAGUACAACACAUGUAGUUAUCAUUUCUCCUAAGCCUCCUCUUGGCUGUGAAAGUUUCUCAGACUUGUUUUUGAUGACCUUGACGAUUUGGGGGAGGACUGGUCAGGGAUUUUGUAGGACGCCUCAUUCAUUUUUCAUUGCUAUAUGAUAUAAUUCCAUUGCUAUGUAAUAAUAUAUAAUCAUCUAGUGUAUAAUGUUUGGUUGUAACACCCACACCUUACUAAUUCUUCCACUGAUGGACAUUUCAGUUUCUGAUCCUUGUUUCAAACAGUGCUGUUAUAUAUACUUUUGUAUGUGUCUUUUUUUUUUUUUUUAAGAUUUUAUUUAUUUGACAGAGACACAGCAGGAGUGGGAACAUCAGCAGGGGAAGUGGGAGAGGGAGAAACGGGCUUCCUGCCAAGCAGGGAGCCCGAUGCGGGGCUCCAUCCCAGGACCCUGGGAUCACAACCUGAGAUGAAGGCAGAUGCUUAAUGACUGAGCCACCCAGGUGUCCCUUGUAUGUGUCUCAUAAGCACACAUUUCCGUAGGGUUAUAUAUCCAGAGGCGGAAUUGGUGGGUACAGGGUAUAGACAUGUUCAGUUUUACUAGUUACUAUCAAACUGUUUUCCAAAGAAGCUGUAUACAUUUACACGUACAGCUGCAGUCCUUUGGGCCACCUGGGUGGCUCAGUUGGUUAGCUGUCUGCCUUUGGCUCAGGUCAUGAUCUCUGUGUUCUCACAUCGGGCUCCCUGGUCAGUGGGGAGUCUGCUUCUCCCUCUCCUGAUCCUCCUACCCCACUUGUUCUUGCCUUCUGUCUCAAAUAAAUAAAACCUUAAAAAAAAAACAAAAACUGCUGUUCUUUGUCCCACUUCCUCGCUAGCAUUUGAUCUUACCCUUAAUUUUUUGCAACAGAGUAGGUGUGAGAUGAUACAAUGUUUUUAGUUUAUGUUUUUCUGUUUUAUGACAAGAUUGAACAUCGUUUCAUAUGUUUAGGAACUAUUUGUGUUCCCUCUUCUAUAAAAUCUACCCCCCCACUUUUCUAUUGGGUCGUUUAUUUUUCUCUUUUUAAUUCACAGAAAUUCUUUAUAUAUUCUAGAUAUAAUUCAGAACAGGAGUGGCAAAAAUUUUCCAGUUUAUGGUUUGCGUUUUCAUUCUCUUUAUAGUAUCUUUUGAUUAACACAGGUCUUAAUUUUAAUGUAAAUUAUAAAUCUUUUUCUUUAGUUGUAUAGAAAUAGAAAAUAGUAUUUAUAGAAAAGUUUGUAUUUUCUUUUUUUUUUUUAAGAUUUAUUUAUUUGUUUUAGAGAGAGAGAAAGAGUGGGGAGGGGCGGAGGGGGAGGGAGAGAGCGAAUCUCAAGCAGACUCCAUGGUGAGCGUGGAGCCCGAGGCAGGGCUUGAUCUCAGCACCCUGAGAUCAUGACCUGAACUGAAACGAAGAGUCAGGUGCUUAACCAACUGAGCCACCCAGGCACCCUGUAGUUGUUAUUUUCUUAGGAAAUAUGUAUCUCAGAGCAAAAAUCUUUUCUCCCAUUCGUGUGUUAUAAGAUAGGGACCCUUUUUUUUUUUUUAAUUUUCUAAAGAUUUUUAUUAAUUUAUUUGUCAGAGAGCACAAGCAGGGGGAGCAGCAGGCAGAGGGAGAAGCAGGUUCCCUGCUGAGCCGGGAGCCUGACUUGGGGCUCCACCCCAGGACCCCAGGAUCAUGACCAGAGCAGAAGGCAGACGCUUAACGAACUGAGCCACCCAGGCAGGUUUAGAAUUCUAGGUUGCCAGUAAUUUUCAGCCUGUGAAGCUGUCGUGCGGGUUUUCCGGCCUCCGCGGGUCCCUCGAAGCCAGCGGGGUCACUCGUGGAGAGAUUUUGGACUUUGUGUAUACUGCACUUGGUUUCCACGGUGCCCGGAGAUUUCUGUUGAUCUCUGCAGUCCCAGUUCCCUCAUUGUCAUCGCUGGGGAGUCAUCUGAACCUGUCUCAGAGGCCACGUACUUGUUGCCCUGCUGUUGGUCCCUUCGGUUUGUUCUGAUGCUUUGAUAAACGUGCCGGCGGGACUCCUCCAGCACCGGUGAGGGCUUCUCGCAGAUGGGCAGGAGCGGGCCCGCCGGGCGGUGCGGGGAGGUCCGUGCUUGUGCGCGGUGUAGCGGAGACGGCAGUUCCCCGCCUCCUUGGUGGCACAGGGCCCAUUGGUCAGCUGAUGGGCACCACCGCCGUCUCACUGGGAUUUGGCCUGUGGGGCUGUACGUCUCUUAUUUAUAAGCCAUUCUCGUUUUCUUUUGCCUGGGGCAUUUAGCCAUUUUCCUUUUGGCGGCUUUGUUUCAUUUUUCAAAUUUUUUGAUUCAUUUACAACUGACUGGGCAGAAGGGGGAUUCAGCUGUUUUCUCAAGAUGACCAACAACUGAGCAAAUGCCCCAGCUCCGACCUACUGAGCUGAACUACCAGCUUCCUCACACUCUCACACACCAGCUUUUCUCCUAUUUGACUAAAAUGUGCGCCGGUAUCUUCAUUUAUCAUUAAUAUAUGAAUUUCCUAUCACCACGAUGUCCGUUCCCUCCGAAUUAUUAAACUUCCCUAAGAACAGGAUCUUACCACGGACCUAGGGAGACUCUCGGGGCUUUCUGUUCUCUUGCAGGCGUCGCCCCGCCGGCCGCCUGGGCGCAGAGACGGCCGGAGUGUCGAGUAGCGGGCACAAGGGCGAGCGGCAUUCGGGCUGCGUCAGGACUGCUCGUUCCGUUUUCAGUAGGUCAUGAAAUGGGAAUUAUGGAAACGGACUUUUUCCUUCCGUCAAGAAUGGAUGUUAGUUUAUCAAAUUUUUAUCAACUAUUUCUUCCUUCUCUGUGGUUGCUAGGAUUUGUGCCUUUUAUUAGGUUUAUCCUUGCCUAUCCUUGCCUCACUGCCUUUUUUUUUUUUUUUAAUGAUAAAAGAAUCAUUGUAGGUUAUUUGGAAAGUAGAGAAAUGCCCCAGCUCAAACCCAUGCCUGCUAGAGCGGCACGAAAUGACCCUCAAGCGGACGAAUCCGCUGCUGCAGCCGCAGUGCGGGAUUUUACCUUUUCCAUCUGAACAGCAUGCGAAGCCUCUCUCCCCUGGCACCAUCUCCAAGAUGCUGACAACUUUUCAAAACAUCUUUCUGCAAACCCAAUGACAAGACAUGCCGUUUGCCCCACACCUGAGCUGUGUGACAUACGAGCACAUCUCCUUCCCGGAAAGUCAAGUCUGAGACCUCCCCCCACCGGAAGGUAAAAACCCUUUGGGGUGCGGGGCUGGAGGCCCUCAAUGCCCCUCACCCCUUCCUCCCGCCGGAGAACAGUCAGCACCACACCGUGAACUUAUCAUAGAAUAGAUUUAUUUACCCGAAACCAUGUCUGUGCAAUGCUUGUUACCAGCACAGAAACAGACAACUGAUCUCUAUUUACAGUCUAAGUCAAACAUGCUUUGUGAUAAAUUGACGGUUAGCAUUUUAUUAAGAUAAAUGCAUCACAAAAGUCGUAUUGCACCAA